GGCUGCUGGUGAUUCCUGAAGCGAGUGAAAUGUGUGUAUAGAACUGAUUUUGUUUGGGAAUCCACAGAAAGACAGGCC